rnacentral:misc_RNA from 1 species
GAUCUGGUACCCUAUCUUCUGAAAUUUGAUGACAUAUAAAUUAGAUUUUGUUAAACAAAAUGUUUAAUCCAGUUGUUCAAUGUCAUUAUCAUAUAACUAGAUUUUAUUAACGAUUUUUCGUAAAUGGGGGAACAAUACAUUACCCUAAUGUUGGAGCAGAUCAUAUACGUACACGUAGCUUAUUUGCGAAAACCAGGCUGUAAACUAUAUUAUCAACACAUAAAAAGACAAUAUUGUACAGUUGAGCCUCGAUUAUUCGAACAGGUUGGAGGAUAAGGACAAGACAGUUCGGAUAACCGGCAAAUUACGAUAAUAGAAAUUCAGUAGAUAGCUAUCUUUUCGAACUCUUCUUAUUAAUUCAAAUAUUAGGAUUUAAGUGUUACGAUUUCAAUUUUUCCUUCUUUGACGCAGAAUUUAUUUCGAAUAAAAACAAGUAAUUGCAUGUAUUAAUAUACAUACUCAUUAUAAGAGUGUUUAUACGUAUUACAAAAUUACGAUUGAUCCUAGUUCAGAUAAAAGAUGCUCGGCAUUAACUUGUUUACAUAAACUAGGUUCUACUAUAUUUAUUUAUCUUACAAUGAAAAUGUAAGAUAAGUUGAUCUUUUUACCAUUAUCAAUGACAGUAAAACUUUCAUUUCAAGUGCAUGAUUUAUCAAAUAAAUCAUUUUUAUCACGAGAUAAUUAUUUCGUAAUAAUACUAUUUGCAUACAUCUGAAAUUUAUUUGGAAAAUUUAGUUAUUGUUAUAUUAAGUUUAUUUCUUUGUUCCGAACGCGAACAUAUAAAUAACAAUAAAGUAGUGUAAAAGUUAUUAAUACAAUGUAUUAUAAAAGCAUUAGUUUUUCGGUACAUUUAAAAUUUGUCAACUGCAUUUCUAUCUAUAGACAUAAUAAAAGAUAAAAAUUCAUAAACGUUUAGAAUGAAAAAUCUCG